rnacentral:rRNA from 1 species
CAAGCCUGAUCCAGCCAUGCCGCGUGAGUGAUGAAGGCCUUAGGGUCGUAAAGCUCUUUCACCGGAGAAGAUAAUGACGGUAUCCGGAGAAGAAGCCCCGGCUAACUUCGUGCCAGCAGCCGCGGUAAU